UACGGGGGGGCAAGCGUUGUUCGGAAUUACUGGGCGUAAAGGGCGCGUAGGCGGCCAACUAAGUCAGACGUGAAAUCCCUCGGCUCAACCGGGGAACUGCGUCUGAUACUGGAUGGCUUGAAUUCGGGAGAGGGAUGCGGAAUUCCAGGUGUAGCGGUGAAAUGCGUAGAUAUCUGGAGGAAUACCGGUGGCGAAGGCGGCAUCCUGGACCGACAUUGACGCUGAGGAGCGAAAAGCCAGGGGAGCAAACGGGG
rnacentral:rRNA from 1 species